rnacentral:rRNA from 1 species
AUACGUAGGUGACAAGCGUUGUCCGGAAUUAUUGGGCGUAAAGCGCAUGUAGGCGGUUUGGUAAGUCGGUCGUGAAAAUGCGGUGCUUAACGCCGUAUGGCGAUUGAAACUGCUGAACUUGAGUGCAGGAGAGGAAAGGGGAACUCCUAGUGUAGCGGUGAAAUGCGUAGAUAUUGGGAAGAACACCGGUGGCGAAGGCGCCUUUCUGGACUGUGUCUGACGCUCAGAUGCGAAAGCCAGGGUAGCGAACGGGAUUAGAUACCCCGGUAGUCCUGGCCGUAAACGAUGGGUACUAGGUGUGGGAGAUAUCGACUCCUUCCGUGCCGGAGUUAACGUAAUAAGUACCCCGCCUGGGGAGUACGGCCGCAAGGCUUAAACUCAAAUGAAUUGGCGGGG